GAAUUACUGGGCGUAAAGCGCACGCAGGCGGUUUGUUAAGCUAGAUGUGAAAGCCCCGGGCUCAACCUGGGAUGGUCAUUUAGAACUGGCAGACUAGAGUCUUGGAGAGGGGAGUGGAAUUCCAGGUGUAGCGGUGAAAUGCGUAGAUAUCUGGAGGAACAUCAGUGGCGAAGGCGACUCCCUGGCCAAAGACUGACGCUCAUGUGCGAAAGUGUGGGUAGCGAACAGGAUUAGAUACCCUGGUAGU
rnacentral:rRNA from 1 species